GAAAUGCGAUAAGUAAUGUGAAUUGCAGAAUUCCGUGAAUCAUCGAAUCUUUGAACGCACAUUGCGCCCUCUGGUAUUCCGGGGGCAUGCCUGUCCGAGCGUCAUUGCACACCCUCAAGCGCGGCUUGUGUGUUGGGCCCCCGCGUCCUUGCCAUUUAAAGGACGGGCCCGAAAGGCAGUGGCGGCGUCGCGGUUAUCCGAUCAGCCAGAGCGUAUGGGGACUCUGUUCACACGUUCGGGGCGCGGACCAACGCCAGUCCGGUUAACAAUCUUUCUUCCAAGGUUGACCUCGGAUCAGGUAGGGAUACCCGCUGAACUUAAGC
rnacentral:misc_RNA from 1 species